AAAAAGAAAAUUAAAAAGAAUAAAAAAAAUAGCGACGCCGACGACCCAACCAAAUACAGCAGAAACUCAGCUCAUUAUUUGUUCGACUUUUCUUUGCUGUCUCUAGAAGACCAAAAUUCCACCCACCAAUUUUUCUCUCUGUUUCAGCAUCUGAAUUUUUUGAUUGAGAGGAAGGUAGAAUGUCUGGCGGAGGCACACAAAAUAGCUUGAGGAAAGCACUCGGAGCCAUCAAAGAUACCACCACCGUUUCGUUGGCUAAAGUCAAUAGUGAUUAUAAGGAAUUGGAUAUUGCUAUAGUAAAGGCCACAAAUCAUUAUGAACGCCCAGCAAG